rnacentral:rRNA from 1 species
GGCUUAAUGAAAAUAAUUUUAAGUCGAUCUGCCCAAUGAUUAAUAAUUUAAUGGCUGCAGUAUAAUUAACUGUACUAAGGUAGCAUAGUCAAUUGUUUUUUAAUUGGAAACUGGAAUGAAAGAAUUAAUGAGAUAUAUACUGUCUCAUAUAUAUUUAAUUAAAUUAAAUUUUUAGUUAAAAUGCUAAAAUGAAUUUAUGGGACGAUAAGACCCUAUAGAAUUUUAUAUUAAUUAUUAAAUUAUUGUAAAAUUUUAAUUUUUAAUAUUUGAUUGGGAGGAUUAAUAAAUUUAAUUAACUUUAUUUGAAAAAUAAACUUUGAUUUAAGAGUUAUUUAAUGAUUUUGUAUUAUAGAUUAUAAGAAAAAAUUACCUUAGGGAUAACAGCGUAAUAUCUUUUUAAAGAUCAAAUUGAUAAAGAUGUUUGCGACCUCGAUGUUGAAUUAAGAUAAAUUUUAAAUGCAGAAGUUUAAUAAUUAAGUCUGUUCGACUUUUAAAAUCUUACAUGAUUUGAGUUCAAAUCGACGUGAGU